CCUACGGGAGGCAGCAGUGGGGAAUAUUGGGCAAUGGGCGCAAGCCUGACCCAGCAACGCCGCGUGAAGGAAGAAGGCUUUCGGGUUGUAAACUUCUUUUGUUAGGGACGAAUAGAUGACGGUACCUGAGGUAUAAGCCACGUCUAACUACGUGCCAGCAGCCGCGGUAAUACGGAGGUGGCAAGCGUUAUCCGGAUUUCCUGGGUGUAAAGGGCGUGUAGGCGGGGUCGCAAGUCAGAUGUGAAAACCACGGGCUCAACCUGUGGUCUGCAUUUGAAACUGUGAUUCUUGAGUAUAGGAGAGGUAGGCGGAAUUCGUGGUGUAGCGGUGAAAUGCGUAGAUAUUAAGAGGAACACCCAUGGCGAAGGCGGUCUGCUAGACAGCAACUGACGCUGAGGCGCGAAAGCGUGGGGAGCAAACAGGAUUAGAUACCCCAGUAGUC
rnacentral:rRNA from 1 species